rnacentral:lncRNA from 1 species
AUGUUGGCCCAAGGAGGCGAACCGAGAGCUUUGGGAACGCGGAAACGGUUCGCGGCAGCAGGUUCCAAGAGCCACCGGGCCGAGGGCCGAGCCCUAGGGCGACAGCAAGUUUGGGAGCUGGAGCUUCCCCCCCCAAUUUUUGAGAACAGACAACAAGCGGUGAGUGAUUAUUUCAAAAAUCCAAACCAUCUCAUUGGGGGAGGAGAGAGAGGAGGGGGUGACAAAAGAAGGACCCUGUGUUUAGCUUGAGUUCCAGACACCGCUGGCAAUAAAGAGGCCGUAAGAACUUCACGAAGAAGUUUGUGCUAUGAUUCUCACCUCCGGAUAGGCAGAAGGGGCUAAGAGGUGAUAAGGACAUUUGUACUUCUAAGAAGAUGAGAAGAACAGCAAACUGGCUUAAUUUUAAAUGCACUGGCAGAAGAGAUGGGGGAGUGUUGUUGUUAUUAUUACUGCUACUACUACUACUACAAACCUGUUUGUUUCUCAGCUCUGCAAGAUUUAGGACUCUUGCCACAAGUGAGGAAGACUACAAAAUCUCAACUUUUUUUAGGGAGUGUCUGAAAAGGGCAAGGAGGCCUGUAGGAGGAAGGACAGAGGCAAGAAUGUAGAUGUCUGCAGAUUUGGGGGCAGGGUGGGGAAGAGCCAUUCCCAGUGGAGGCAAAAGACAAAAAGAACACCAGGACUUUUCCAAAAGCAGGCGGGUUUGCAACUCUGCGGAACUGCUGACUCGGGGCUUAGGGAAUAAAAUAGAAGGCCGACAGGCGCUCCUUCCUACAAAGGCAGCUUGGAAAACUUCUCUUAACUUCGUGUAGACAGAACCAGCAACUACCCUGUGACCUCUUGGUUAGAAUCCUUGGCUUUCACCUUCUCCCAUCUGGAUGCACCAGGAGAGAAGGGACUGGGAGAACAAAGGUGAGAAAUGGUUCCAGCUAUUGUCUCCCCCCCAGGAAAGGGUGGCUGUGUCUUGCAAAGCUUCCUUUCCACCCUAUAGCUCCCCACUCACAGGCUUGGCUUUGGGCUGAGAAAGGGUCUCAUUCUUCACAGGGAGUGGUCCCUGACCUCCUCCAGCCUCCACUUCUUCCAGGUCCACUAAGUCAGGCUCCCUGGGCUGGAGCAGCCAGUUUCCUGGAGCCCCUGCUGAACAAGCGUGGAGGGGGGAAACCCAGACCUCUGGACCCUCUGGCAAGGAACCUCAUGCGGGGCCUCUAACUCUGAUGUCCCUAGGAUCAGACCGCCUGCCUAGACAGUUGGUGGCUGAGGGAAGCAUGGUGGGGAGAUGAAGAUGGGAGGUGGAAGCCAUUUUUCUGAGUGUAUUCGUAGUGUCAAGAAAAGAAAAUGCCCAAGCCAGACCCCAUGCUGGGGCUCAAGCCAGGACCCUCAGAGAGCAGUUAGGACUGCCUGAGUGUGUGGACCCUGGUUAGAGAACUGCUGCAUUUAACUCUCCGCAGCUUUGGGCCUGGUGGGUCAGGGACUCCCCCACAGAGCUUCAGGGAAACAGCGCUUUGGGUCUUUCUGUCCCCCAGAUUAAAUAGUCAAGGCUGUACCCCAGAGCCUCCAGCUCUCCUAACUGUUGCUACCACUGGCUAGGGUCACUGUGAAAUUAAGAGAAGAGGAGGACUUGUCACUUGUGGGACUGCACGGUUUUGCCCCAAGGGAUAAAAAGAGAGCCCAGAGGGCACCCUGCCCGCUGCGGGCCUGCAGGAGGCUCAGCCUGCAGCUGAGCUGCUGAGGGUAGAGGAGCUUUCCAGAGACAGUAGUGGACCCCUCCCCUCUCUGAGCCUCAACUCUUGUGGUCCCCUCUGGCUACACAGGGAGGUGGGGUACAGUGGGGUGGAAGCAAAAAGGAAGGCUGAGGGGGGAAAAAAAAGCUAACCUGGAGGAAAAUUCCAGAGGAAAUACACCUCCAAAUGUGGGAGGAAAUGGAGUGGGGUUUCUGAGAUCAGAGCCCAUUUGAAAUGUGUAGGAGGCAAUUCUAUUCCAGUUUGGUUUCUUUCUUGCUUUUUUUUUUUUUUUUAAUUCCUUUCUGGCCUAUUACCCCUGUUUGGGGCUGGGGGGGGUAGGGGUAAAGGGUAGAACCUGCAUCCCAGGCCACCCAUUUCGUUUUGAGGUGUUGCUGCUGGUUAGGGACCUUCCACACUUCAUGGGACAAAGCAGGGGCAAUGAGGAGCCUAGGUGGGGACCUGGGGGUGAGAAACACUGGAGGGGUCUGAGGAAAGACUUUGAGGUCUGGAAAAGGAGAAGAGAGGUAUUUGUCACCCCGACAGUGAAGUUGUGAUUUAAAGGCAGAGUAGAGACCUGG